rnacentral:rRNA from 1 species
GACGAACGCUGGCGGCGUGCUUAACACAUGCAAGUCGAACGGAAAGGCCCUGCUUUUGUGGGGUGCUCGAGUGGCGAACGGGUGAGUAACACGUGAGUAACCUGCCCUUGACUUUGGGAUAACUUCAGGAAACUGGGGCUAAUACCGGAUAGGAGCUCCUGCUGCAUGGUGGGGGUUGGAAAGUUUCGGCGGUUGGGGACGGACUCGCGGCUUAUCAGCUUGUUGGUGAGGUAGUGGCUUACCAAGGCUCUGACGCGAUGCCGGCCUGAGAGGGUGACCGGCCACAUUGGGACAGAGGUACGGCCAGGAGUCCUUCGGGAGGCAGCAGUGGGGAAUAUUGCACGCUGGGCGGAAGCCUGAUGCAGCAACGCCGCGUGCGAGAUGACGGCCUUCGGGUUGUAAACCGCUUUCGCCUGUGACGAAGCGUGAGUGACGGUAAUGGGUAAAGAAGCACCGGCUAACUACGUG